GUAGGGGGCGAGCGUUGUCCGAAGUUACUGGGCGUAAAGCGCACGUAGGCGGUUAUCUAAGUCUGGGGUGAAAGGUUCAGUGCUUAACGCGAACAGUGCCUUGGAGACUGGAUGACUUGAGUUUGGGAGAGGGUAGUGGAAUGGCUGGUGUAGCGGUGAAAUGCGUAGAUAUCAGUCGGAACACCAAUGGCGAAGGCAGCUACCUGGCCUAAAACUGACGCUGAGGUGCGAAAGCGUGGGGAGCGAACGGG
rnacentral:rRNA from 1 species